UCGAGAAUCUUCGGCAAUGGGGGCAACCCUGACCGAGCGACGCCGCGUGUGAGAUGAAGGCCUUCGGGUUGUAAAUCACUGUCAGUGGGGAGGAAGUGCUAGGGGGUUAUCCCCCUAGUUUGACCUAUCCGCAGAGGAAGGACGGGCUAAGUUCGUGCCAGCAGCCGCGGUAAGACGAACCGUCCAAACGUUAUUCGGAAUUACUGGGCUUAAAGGGUGCGUAGGCGGUCCGGCAAGUCGGGUGUGAAAGCCCUCAGCUCAACUGAGGAAUUGCGUCCGAAAAUGCCGGGCUUGAGGGAGAUAUAGGUGAGCGGAACUUAGGGUGGAGCGGUGAAAUUCGUUGAGAUCCUAAGGAACACCAGUAGCGAAAGCGGCUCACUGGGUCUCUUCUGACGCUGAUGCACGAAAGCUAGGGGAGCGAAGA
rnacentral:rRNA from 1 species